rnacentral:ncRNA from 2 species
CAUAAUCGAUCGAGUUCAGGUGACAGGGAAGACCGGUGAGAAUCCGGCGCGGACCCGCCACUGUAUACCCGACGUCGUCUAAAACGCCACUGGAGAGUUUCUCCGGGAAGGCUCGGCGAUGGAUGAGGGAAGCCAGGAUACCGGCCUGAACACGUGACCCAUC